rnacentral:misc_RNA from 1 species
UUUCCGUAGGUGAACCUGCGGAAGGAUCAUUAUCAAACAGCGGACUUCGGUCCUUGCUGCACCCUUGUCUUUUGCGCACCGUUUGUUUCCUCGGCGGGCUUGCCUGCCGGCUGGACAAUAUCAAACCAUUUGUAGUUGCAGUCAGCGUCAGAAAAUAACAAUCGUUACAACUUUCAACAACGGAUCUCUUGGUUCUGGCAUCGAUGAAGAACGCAGC